UACGUAGGGUGCAAGCGUUGUCCGGAAUUAUUGGGCGUAAAGAGCUCGUAGGCGGCUUGUCGCGUCUGCUGUGAAAACUCGGGGCUUAACCCCGGGCCUGCAGUGGGUACGGGCAGACUAGAGUGCGGUAGGGGAGACUGGAAUUCCUGGUGUAGCGGUGAAAUGCGCAGAUAUCAGGAGGAACACCGGUGGCGAAGGCGGGUCUCUGGGCCGAUACUGACGCUGAGGAGCGAAAGCGUGGGGAGCGAACAGG
rnacentral:rRNA from 1 species